GAUGAAGAACGCAGCGAAAUGCGAUAAGUAAUGUGAAUUGCAGAAUUCAGUGAAUCAUCGAAUCUUUGAACGCACAUUGCGCCCCCUGGAAUUCCGGGGGGCAUGCCUGUUCGAGCGUCUCAGGGACGAACCCUCGCGCGGGUGUACGCGCGGUCGUGGCUGCGGUGGCGUGCCCGAGGCGGCGGCCACCGCGCUGGAAUCCAUGGGCGGACGCCUGCCGCGUGGCCGAGCGUGAUAUGACGCAUUGGCGCUCGCACGCGGAGAGGCUGCCAGCCCUGGCCCGUCUGUCGGGCGGGGGAGAGCAAGACACGUGAACUCCUCGAAUCAGGUAGGGAUACCCGCUGAACUUAAGCAUAUCAAAAGCGGAGGA
rnacentral:misc_RNA from 1 species